GCAGAGUAGCCAAGGCGCGUUAAGUGUUGCGAAACGGGACGUUGUUCGCAAACGAAAGGGAAAUUCCCUGCGGUGCCGAGGCGCGUCCGUUG
rnacentral:ncRNA from 1 species